rnacentral:rRNA from 1 species
AAAUGUAAUUUUUUACCCAGGGUAGUAAAAGUUAUGUUCUUGAAACCCAAAGAAUUUGGCGGUAUUUUAUUCUUUUUAGAGGACCCUGUCCUGUAAUUGAUAGUCCACCGAGAGAAUUACUUAUUUUUGCUUUCAGUUUGUAUACUCCGUCAUAAGAUUAUCUUUUUCAGAGAUAAUAUUCUUUUUAUACAAAAUUUAAUAUGUCAGGUCAAGGUGCAAUUUAUGAAUAAGUAGAGAUGGGUUACAAUAAAAUUAUUUAAAUGGAAUAUUAUUGUUAUUUUUAAUAUGAAGGUGGAUUUAAAAGUAAAAUUGUUUUCUUAAUAACUUGAUUUUAGCUCUAAAAUAUGCACACAUCGCCCGUCACUCUUAUUUUAAAAUAAGAUAAGUCGUAACAUAGUAGAGGUACCGGAAGGUGUUUCUAGAAAGUAA